GGGCGGUUAACUCAGCGGUAGAGUGCUUCCCUUACAAGGAAGAGGCCACAAGUUCGAAUCUUGUACCGCCCA
rfam:Planktothrix serta PCC 8927 isolate BBR_PRJEB10992 genome assembly, scaffold: BBR_A_PL8927_scaffold59